CUGUAAGCCUGCGAAGGUGGCCUGUGAGGGUUGCUGGAGGUAUCAGAAGUGCGAAUGCUGACAUAAGUAACGAUAAAGCGGGUGAAAAGCCCGCUCGCCGGAAGACCAAGGGUUCCUGUCCAACGUUAAUCGGGGCAGGGUGAGUCGACCCCUAAGGCGAGGCCGAAAGGCGUAGUCGAUGGGAAACGGGUUAAUAUUCCCGUACUUGGUGUUACUGCGAAGGGGGGACGGAGAAGGCUAUGUUGGCCGGGCGACGGUUGUCCCGGUUUAAGCGUGUAGGUGUGUGUUCCAGGUAAAUCCGGUUCACUUUAACACUGAGGCGUGACGACGAGGCACUACGGUGCUGAAGCAACAAAUGCCCUGCUUCCAGGAAAAGCCUCUAAGCAUCAGGUAACAUCAAAUCGUACCCCAAACCGACACAGGUGGUCAGGUAGAGAAUACCAAGGCGCUUGAGAGAACUCGGGUGAAGGAACUAGGCAAAAUGGUGCCGUAACUUCGGGAGAAGGCACGCUGACACGUAGGUGAAGUGAUUUACUCAUGGAGCUGAAGUCAGUCGAAGAUACCAGCUGGCUGCAACUGUUUAUUAAAAACACAGCACUGUGCAAACACGAAAGUGGACGUAUACGGUGUGACGCCUGCCCGGUGCCGGAAGGUUAAUUGAUGGGGUCAGCGCAAGCGAAGCUCCUGAUCGAAGCCCCGGUAAACGGCGGCCGUAACUAUAACGGUCCUAAGGUAGCGAAAUUCCUUGUCGGGUAAGUUCCGACCUGCACGAAUGGCGUAAUGAUGGCCAGGCUGUCUCCACCCGAGACUCAGUGAAAUUGAACUCGCUGUGAAGAUGCAGUGUACCCGCGGCAAGACGGAAAGACCCCGUGAACCUUUACUAUAGCUUGACACUGAACAUUGAGCCUUGAUGUGUAGGAUAGGUGGGAGGC
rnacentral:rRNA from 1 species